rnacentral:lncRNA from 1 species
GUGGACAGCUUUCCUUGAAUUGUGAGCUGAAAUACAGGCUUUAAACAUAGAGUUUUAAGAUGUUAGGGAGGAAAGUGACAUUGAUUUAUUUGUUCUGUUCUCAGCCAGCCUGGGAAACCUGUCCCGUCAGGUAAUCAACAACUGCUUUUAUCCUAACUGGUGAUUUCAAGAGAGAGAUUACUCAUCCCAUCAUUACCAUUCCCCCUGAGUCAUCCCGGCUGGCUCCUGUUGGUUUCAACCGAAUAAGAAUCUUCAGGCCGUGGACGCUAAGGCCAAGGUGUCAACUGCAGGACACUCACUCAGCCCAGUCAUCGUGAGCCACAGAAGCUACUCGGACACCUGUGUGCAUUUAGCAGGACAAAGCUAUUCUCAGGCGAUCGUCAGCCGAGUUGAUGCAGUAUGAGAUUGUGUCAAGGUGUCCUUGAGUGAGGGUAGCAGGGAGUGAAAGAGGAGAAGAAAAGAAAAUUAAGAAAGGUGAGUAUGAGUAAAUUUGGAAGGUGAAGUAAAGGGCUUCUCUGGGCAAAUGAGGCUGCUAAGACCAUUAUCCCAAUAGGAAGGUUUGGGACUGUGGAAGGUGAGAGGUAACCAGAGAAUAAUCAGAGGCAGUUUAGGAAAAAGGUCCUUAAGUUAAAUGACAAACCCAUUGUCAUGUAAAAAUAGUGUUGUUUCUUGAAAUACAAGAUUUUAAGAAAGGAGAAUAGGGC